CUGCCUGAUGUUGGCAUGUAAAGGAGGUAACAUAUCUAUUGUGAAACACAUCCUAUCCAUGAAAACAUGUGACAUCAACAGACGGGGAGGAAAGUCAAAACAAACACCGAUAAUGAUGGCUUUAGAGACACGACACUAUGGUGUGUAUCAUCUCCUUGUAUCUGAGGGCGCAGAUCUGACAAUUACUGAUGAAGACAACACAGACUGUCUGAUGUUGGCAUGUCAAGGAGGUAACAUAUCUAUUGUGAAACACAUCCUAUCCA